UACGAAGGGAGCAAGCGUUGUUCGGAAUUACUGGGCGUAAAGGGUGUGUAGGCGGUUCGACAAGUCAGAUGUGAAAGCCCCGGGCUCAACCUGGGAACUGCGUUUGAUACUGUCGGGCUCGAAUUCGGUAGAGGUGAGUGGAAUUCCCAGUGUAGAGGUGAAAUUCGUAGAGAUUGGGAAGAACACCGGUGGCGAAGGCGGCUCACUGGACCGACAUUGACGCUGAAACACGAAAGCGUGGGGAGCAAACAGG
rnacentral:rRNA from 1 species